rnacentral:lncRNA from 1 species
ACCUUCCCUACCGGCCCCGCCAUCUUCCGCCUACCUCCGGCUCCCCCAACAGUGGCGACCACCUCUGAGACUAAAUCUCGGUUAGUUCUGAAGAUGUUCUUGCUUCUCUCUCUCCCCGCAUGGUGGAAAUACAUUUCGAUGCUCAAAAUUAUUAGCAUUUACAAGCUUUAGGUAAGGCCAUGUCUGUUUUACCUACUACUUAAGGCAAAUUCAGAUCGACACAAAAUUGGAUGUGCUCGCUUUCUUUGCGGUAUCGAUAUUCCAUAGUAUUCAUUGGUUUCUUUAACAAUCGGGAGGUUGUAUGAUUGGUAGUGAGCGUCAUUUCUGAAUUAUAAGCCCAGAGUGUAUCAGAAUGAUAGAGCUCUGAACUUCCAUCAGCUAUGUUUCAGACUUCAGAGGUCAGAUGUUUGUCAUGUGUUGCUGUUAAUCAUUUGCAGACAUUCUUACAUGAUAGUUGGUGAUAUACUUCACUAAUUGAAACAUUGAACGUUGUUAGUUUUCCAUAAACUCUCACCUAUGCAGUUUUCGUACUUAAUUUUGCUGAUGUCAUGCCUGGACCAGGCUUGGCAUCUUCCAGAUGAGCUGAAGGACAAGACAAUUUUGUAGUUUGCUUUUCGCGGAAAAGGGUGUUGAUAGGCAUCAGAAUGGGUAUUGCUAAGCAUGGAUGAUUUGUGCAAGCCUUCAUCACUCAUGGUAUUUUCUUGAGCUUACAUGUUUUGCAAAAUACUACUUUUCGUCAUUCUUGUUUGGUGAUUACCAUUUCCAUCCCACAUUGGAUGUUUACUUGGGUAAUCUUAUGCGAAGUUCUUGUUUUUUGCAUGAUUAUCACAACUCCGCCACGGUUGAAAUAAGAUGAGCAGGUGGCGUUUGGGUUUCACGUAUUUACUUACGAGGGACAAUGCGAUCGAUUUAUGCUUAUGCUUAGUGGGAGAAAGCGAAAUGGUUGCAACAGACAAGGGCACAUGAUGCUGGGUCGUAAAAUAGUCCUCUGUAUGGAGAAAGGUUUACACAGUAUCUCACAGUUCAGGGUAUUACUAAGUGCCUUCCUUAUUUUUCCCUCAAAAAAAAAGUGCCUUCCUUAUUUUAAUACUGUACAAGUAUAAUCACUGGCUCUCUGCACAACACGGGGCUGGAUUGAGGAUUGGGACUUCUACGCAUUUUUUGCAGCUAAAACAUGGUUGUAAUUUUUCACACCAGCCAUUGUUCCACUGCUUUGGGGGUUCCAGCUGCUACUUGAAAUCAUAUUGCUUUGGAACUGCUAGGAAUGGCUUGAAGGUUAGCACAAGCCCAAUUACUUCGACUAAAUUCAAAAUCAGGAAUAUCAUUUGAUCCCCUGCAUGAUUGAAGAAAUAGAUCAUAUGUUAUUUUUUGCAAUUGCACAUACCCAUGGUGAUUAAUUACACGUGUACUGCGCGGGGCAAGUUUAUUUUUUAACAAAUAACCGCUGUUGCUGAAAUAAGAAUGUAACCCAUAAAUUAUCAAACAUACCUGGAAAGAAAGCGGCAUGUUGGCGCUUUUGGGCCCAUGAGAACCUACAUUUGAAGUUUCCAAAUAUGAUAUGUUAUAGAUGGUAUAUGCAUAUGAACCUAGUAUCAAGUAAUAAUAGUAUACGAGAAGGUGCUGGUAGGCUUACUAGUGACCAUAUGAUUUUAAUUUAGCUCUGGGCUUUAUUUAUUUUUACUAGACACAGCUCUGGCCUUUAUCAUUCUUAACUAAAUUUUAGAGUCUACUAUUAUGUCCAAUCUGCUAAAGGAACUAAUUCUUUGAGAAGCUCCAUCAAGGUUCAGUAGGGUUCACAUGCUAUAUGACUUUUACAUGUUAGCAUAUUGAUUGUGUUCAAAAAAGAUUUGGAUGGUUCACAACGAUACUCACAGAACGCCUGCUCCUGCUGGAGCAAUAGCCUUGAAGAGGGACAUUGCGGUCGUAGAUAUGCCAUUUGCAGCACCUCUUUGAUUUUGUGACUGUCGUUUCAGUAAACUGAGUUAGCUAACUUGAGAAGCAAUUGAGCAUAUAAAAGUCACACAAAUUGACUUGAUACUUACCACAGCACUGUUUUGCAGAAUACAAGUGCCCGUUAAGAUAGUCGUCUGAUCAAAAUUUUCAGAGAUGUAAAAUGUAAUGUUAGAAAGAAUGAUAAUGCUGUAUAAAAAAGAAAAAAACUUCUAUGUUAGCAUUUCUUCUAGUAUGGUCAAUUCUGUAUAUAUUCUUGAUUAUAAUGUAAACCUUAUGGGAUUUCUCAAUCUGUAUAAUCCUAUUGCUCAAAAUCGAUACAGCAUGUAUGGUAUUCUGUUUGAAAGAAAUAAAGUCAUGUUUGAGACGAUGAGAUGGAAUUGUUGACACUUACGGCAAAAGCGCCCUUUAUAACGGCAGCGAAGUAAAUGGCUAGUCCGAGUUUGGUCCCUGAUAGGUGUGUCAUGAAGGGGUAAGUAGCAAGAAGUGGUAUGGAUAGAGCCUGAAAUGGACAUGUGGAAUUGUUAAAAAAAAGGAUAUGUAUAAGAAAUGUGAGUUUUGUGGGAAAUAGCUCGGUUACUCACAGCUGCAAUACGGGAUGAAAUGAUAGACCCAAGAUAUUUGUGGACGUGUCUAUAAACAAAUAUUUGAUACAAAAGAAGACCAGCACCUGACAUCAAAUGUGAAAUUAAUAUUCAAAGUUUUUUAUUAUCAUAAUACAUCGCAAAUAGUUACUACUAGAAUUUAACCAGUAUAACAAUGAGAGAACAAUGUUCCAGAAUGGGUAGCAUGUAGUAUUAGAACUAGUUUUGAUUAGAAAGAAGUCUGCAUUUUGGGCCUUUAACUAUGCCUCAAGUGCAUUUUGGUCCUAUAACUUUCAAACAGCCCGAAAUGAACCCUGAACUUACAAAACAGUUCACUUAUGAACCCUUGUCUGGUUUUCGAGCGGUUCCGGUUACCUACAUGAUUUGUAUGCAUACGGACUCCUGAAGCCCAUAUAUGGCUCUGUGGCAUUGUAGUUCAAAAAUAAAAAUAAAGAUGAAAUUAAAAAGGAAAGGCGGCUUGGGCCAAUAUUUUUUCUCUCUUCUCCUCUCUCUGUCAUACUUUCACAUCGUUGGUCCCUCACCUCACAUUGUUAUCGAACUUGCUCUUCAUAUCUAUGUGGCAAUCACAUCGGUGAACCCGCAUCAGCGAAAACCGCAUUGAAGUCAGUGAUUUGUCCAAAAGUGAAUAGUUUCGUGAGCUUAUGGUUCCCUUUGGAUUGUUUGAAUGUUUUAGAGCCAAAAGAAAUCUACAUUUUUUCUUUUGAUUAUAUCUGGUUUCGAAGUGCACCACUACAUGGCAGAAUGUUCCAUAAAUAUGAACAUCCUAGAGGCAAUCUUAAUAUUGGGGUGCACAUUUUAUAGCAUUUGUAGUUGAACUCAACUGCAUAAAUUAAAAUGUUAAUAUGUAAGAGAUGUUUAAUAAGAUUAUAUACACUGGUUGUAACCCAUACCUGAAACUGCAAGAACUUGGCCAACAUCUUUAGAUGAAAAGCUUAGUCCGCCAUACUUUUUUUCACUUACAGCCCACAAGGAAAAUAUCUGAUACAAAAAAUAUAUAUGUUACUUAUCUAUUCAUUAGUUUGUAUGUCGUAAGGGGAAGAUGAAUAGUAGUUACCUCACUGUAUGCUGUAUCAUGAAGGGUGAAAACACAAUAUGCAAUUAUAGAAGACAUCAAUGGCCAGUUCUUGUAUAGACUCUUCUCUGAAUGUGGAACUUCUCUAUGGGGAGCAGCUCUUGAAUCACCAACCAUUUCUACUUCCCUUUCUAAGUUUUUAUGCAUAUGAAGUGUCUCCUGGUAGCAAAGUUCAGUCACAUAUUAAUGUUAUAACCCCAAUAAGAAAAUUAAUCUAGAUAACCAAGCAAUAACUGAUUAGAGACCAGUUGCAAAUGGACUAGAGGAGCUCAAGAGUUGACACAUUUGUUUGCCCUUUGGCUUGUCUUAAUUUAAUUUUAUUCCCUUUUUCUAAAAAAAUAUAACCAAAUUUAUGCCUAAUGUAGAAAACAUUAUAUAUUUAUUACAUAUUAUGGAUAAUUAUUUUCUCCCGCAUCAUGUUAGACCCCAAUUAAGCCCUCUAACUGUUCAGCAGUUCUCAGUUUUUCAGUUUUGGUCCAAAGUACAAAUGCUGCCCUUUCAGUAACAGGCAAUGCAUGGGAUUAGGAAAUACAUGUGUCCUAUCUUUUAUUGGCUCAUAUCUGGAUAGUAAUGGAAGUCGUGAUAUCAAUUCGGGCUGAAAAUUUGCCAAACAUUAUAAUUAAGAACUUAAAAGAACCCUCUACAAGUUGGAGACUAGAAAUGGAUGUCUCAGAGUUAACCAAUAAGAGAAAUUCCAUUAGAUUAUACUGGCAAAGCUAUUAAUGGAAAAGGAAAAGCAUAGGGCACAGUAUUAGUGGGAAUGUCACAUACCGGUAGCCAUAUGCAGCUUAUUAGAACAGCAAAGGCGAUCAGUGAAAUAAAAAGGCACGGCAACAAAUAGGGAAACCUAAAAAAUGCAUAUAGUGUUAGUUUCAUGAAGUUUGGCUUAUUAGAAUUAAAUAAAAGCUUAUUUACAUUACAGUUUACCUCCCAAAAAUCGAGUUCUCAGAAAAUAGGUUCGGAUAUUGCUUUGCAGGCUGACAGGCAAGUAAGAAAACAAGUGUGUUAGAAUAGGUAGUACAUUUAUUAGUAUUUGGAAAUGGGCAUUUCUGAACAAAUAGGUACCUGUGCUAAGUAGCCUCCAAUGGCUGGACCGACAACAAGACCUAUGCCCCAACCCGUGCUUACCUGUACCCAAUGUAUAAAGUCAACUAGAGCAACUGGUAAGUCGUAAUGGCGAUGCAUGUAAAAGAGUAGAGUUAUAUGUUCACUUACUACUGAUAAUCCUAGAGCAUGAUGUUCAGGUCGACAAACUUCAACUGAAUAAGCCUGUAACAGUCAACAAUUAGUAUGGCAUAACUGAUGCCAUGGUAUUAGUUGCUACCAUGACAUAACUGAUGCUAGAUUGGGCAAACUUGGAUACCUUUAUUGGGGCAAGCAUGCCAUUCAUAGAACCAAGGAGCAUUCUUGUGGCAAUCGCCAUCCAAUACUUUACACUUAGUCCAAAUAGAGUGUUAAAGAUGACCCUGAAAGAGGAUUGAUUACCGAGUUUAUAAAUUAGCUGCCACGUAAAAGUUAGCAUAUUUAUUUUGUUACAACUAGCAGAAAAGUUUGCUCACACUGAGAACAUGGAGAGUGCAAUGAUAGGUUUUCUCCCAAUACGAUCUGCCACCACACCCCAGAAGAGCGAGGCGAAACAUCUGCCGAUCAUGUACGAUGCACCUAUAUGACAUCGACAUCAGUAUACCAUAUCUUAAUCUGGGUGAGUAUAUAUGUUAGUGUUUGGAAGAAGAACUGCAGGAAUGUGCUGGAACUUUGUUACAUGUCGUUGAUUCAAUGAGUUUUGGCAUUCUUACCAAGAAGACCAGCAUACACACCGAUGUCUUGUUCGUUUUUUGCCACAUGCAUAUCUUGUAUCUGUUGUCAAGGAAGGUCAAACUGAGUACAUAAAUAAAACGAGUGAUGUUUUAUCAGCAUUUGCUCGAAGUCUUUAAACCGAGAGCUAAAUAAACCCUUGAAAGUGUCGAUCUUUAGCGGUUACCAGUUCGUAGAGUUCAAUCAUUUGCCCCCAUCCGAGUUUUAUGGUUGAUAAUGGCAUCGAAUAAGCCAUGCAUCAUCAGAUAGUGCUUGGCUGACUCACCUGAAGGCAUGAAUCUGUUGUAUCUCUUUUGCAGUGUAUGUAUGUUUAUUGUUUUUAUGAGGUCUACCAUGGAGAGAUCCAUUGUGGAUCAAUUGCCAGGUUGGACGUUUUACAUCUUAAGAGACGUCAAGAUUAUGUUUAUGGGAAUUAAUGCUGAUGAGUAUGCCCCAUGUUUCAGAGCUGAGUGAGACCUACUCCCUCCGUUCCUAAAUGUAAGUCUUUUUAGAGAUUCCAUUACAAACUACAUACGGAUGUAUAUAGACAUCUUUUAAAGUGUAGAUUCACUCAUUUUGCUUCGUAUGUAGUCUAUAGUGGAAUAUCUAAAAAGACUUAUAUUUAGUAAUGGAGGGAGUAUAUGAGAGUGAAGUGGUCAGAGCCACGGUGACUAAUAAUGGUUACAACUAUGGGUGGUGGUAAGAGUCGGAAAUAUUUAUACUAAUAUAUUUGUAUAUGUAGGGUAUAUCGAUUGUAAUCUUUCUGGUAAAUUUUGUGUGAAUAAGUAUAUUAUUGACAGUAAAAUUCAGCAAACUGAGGCCACAAUUUAGUUAGUUGGGUCAGGCGAAGAACAUAUGGCGGUACCAAUUAAUUAAAUCGAUCAAAGUGAGAUCUUUAACAUACCAUGAAGUACAAGAAUGGGAAGAGUGAUGAUAUUGGUAGAGCUGCAAGUUUAAAGGAGAUAUUGUCAAUAUAUUGCAAGAAACAUGGCCUAUCAUGACUAAUACGUGUGAGCUCGCUAUCAGAAAAAAAAAACAUCGUCAAAUCCCAUCCCUGCUAGUAAUGCUAUAUAUCGUACACUGUUUAAUGACUACAUACAGAUCUUUUCUAUAUCUAGAAUGUGAAACAGUUAUGAUCGUCCUUUUUAAAUGCGUUAUACAAUAACAAUAUGUACAGUAAAAUGUUCCUAAGUUAAUAAAAUCUUCAUAGUAUAAAAAAAACAUGUACGGUAAAAGAAAUCUACAUUGUGAGAUGCAGAGUAAAAUCAGUACAUACUCUCUCCGUCCGAAUUUAACCCUAACUGAAAUGAGUGAAUCUAAUACUGUACUUGGAAUAGAGCGACUAGGUAGAGCAGUGACGCACGAACCUGAGGCGAGGGUGGUGACCCCGACGUAGAAGAACUCCUUGUAGGGCGUGCCUGUGUUGUUCUCCUUCUUACGCUCCAUGGCGCACCCCGGGCACCCCUCGUAGUACACCAUCUCCGGCGGCGAGGGCGAGGGCGGCGCCGUCGCGUCGUCAUUGUCGUUACCAUGCGGGAACGUCCGGUUCCUGGUAGUGUCGCCCAUUGCGGCCAUGCUGGUGCUAAUAAAUUAACUUAAUUGAUUGACUGACUGACUGCACCGCCAGUAGCUUCAGAGUACAAGACACUAUAAUGUUAUAUGUUGUGAUGAUGUUAUAUAGGUAGCCAAGCCGUGCAUGCAGUGCAAGGCGAUGUGGUGCAAGUGCAGCAGUGCGUCUCUGUCGCCAUGGGCAGCAUAAAGCUUGCUGCUUUUGGGUGAGAUGAGAUUUGUUCUCAGCGCGCUGCCUGUCAGUCUUGCUAGGUUGACACGAUGGAUCGAAUGGUCAAGAAAGUAACAUAACAAAAGUGCACUUGCAAUAUUCUAUGUAGUAGGCUAGUAGCAUGAAGAACCUCACCGUUCAUGUGAUGUCAUAAGAUUGUUGGUGCGGAUAUGGUUAUCCCUGUAGUUUGUGGAUUGUCGAUCUGAUCACUUUGGGGUUUUUUUCUCGUCUACGCAUAGCUUUGGUCUUAUAUGACUUUGCUAUUUGCGGACGUGUUUUUGUGCGUGUGUGUUCCUUUUGAUUGUGUCAUCUUACCUAUGCAGAGGUAGAGUGUGUGCUCAUUGUGUUUGUAUCUCCUUCAUGCUUCAUUUUGAGCCAAUAAAAUUUCAUCCUUUGUCGAAAGAACUGUGUAGUAGCAUGAACUAGUGAAAAGAGAGAGCCAGGGAAAGGGCAAAUCUCGAAUUGAGCGAUAUCUAUCUAUGUGCAUUACUUGUGGUGUCACAUUUUGUUUCGACAGUCAUUACUGAUGUCACUUUGGUGUGCUAGUUUUACUUUAAUCAUGAUGAUAACUAACCAUUCGCUUCUUUUAAUCCUUCGCUUUCAACCAGGUUAAUCUAGCUAGGAACUCCUUGAAAGUAACAGCUCCCUAUGUAUACCCGGUAGGACCGGCGAAAAAGGUUGCACGGAGGAGGCAUGUUGUUUGACUGGAGCUGGAGGUAGGAGGAUAUCCGUUUCCUCGUGCGGGCGAUUCGUUUCAUCUUUCCUGGCUCUGGCUGCACCGGCACCUGCACGUACGAGGAGCUAGGUUAGCCGCAUGUAUGAGGAGUUUGUUUGGUUCGCAGCUCUGAUUAGCAACCUCAACUUUAUUGGAUGUCCCCGAAGGGACAACCUCAACUUUGUUUAUGAUUAACCUACUAGGCCUUGAAGACAAUUCAGACAAUUUACAAAAUAGCCCAUUUUUAACUGUCUGAAAUGACUUACAAAAAUGAACGGAAGGAGUAUUUGUUUUCUUAAACAGAAGUAGAACAAUUGUUCUAUGGUAUUUUUAUUAAUCAUAAAUUAUUUACAUAGUACA